rnacentral:lncRNA from 1 species
ACGAGGCGGUUUUCUAUAGUAUUUGUUUCCUUGGAUUUGGCAUAGUCCCCCAAUUUUUAUUUUAAAUAAAAUGUUUCUUUGAGGUCUUAUAAAUGAUUGUAAUGAGUUAAGAUCCCAACUUAGCUAAGAUUUCCUCAUGUCUUAUGAUGCCUAUCUACGAUCAUGAUAUAAAGAAAAAUGUUAAAUGCAUUUUUCUAUAACAAUUUCUGUACUUUUAUCUAUUAUUCACCAAACUUUUAUCUAAUAAUUUCUGCUAGGGUUUAGCCGAAACACCGUUUCACUAAACUUUCAAAGAAACAUCAUGAAUCAUCGAUUCUUGAUUUAUCGAUUCAUGCUAUUCAAUACACAACUGAUUGUAUGCCUUAUUUUGUCCUACGUGCUUCAUUCAUCUCCCUAAUUAAGUCGUUAACGUGUUGUAAUCUUCUUGAUUUUGGUGAGAGAAAGAACUUUCUAUCAUUACGUGAGUGGGUUGUUAGGUGCUUCUUAUUGUUGUUCACCAUAUCCUUGCCGAUCACCGUUCACGCCUCUGUCAUGCCUUUUGUAAACAUCCCGAUUUUUGCUAUUAUUAUUUAUUUGUUUAUUUAUUUAUUAUGUGUUAAAUUGCUUGUUUGUAUGUUUGAUUUGAGGGUUAGGGGAUUUUUAGGCGUGAAGAGUAUAUUAGUCAUUUUAGAACUAAGGGCAUUUUGGUAAAUUCAGGAGUGAGGGUAAAUUCAUAAUUUUAGAACGAAUUGUAUUAUAGUAAUUUUGGUGUGGAGAGUUAUUUUAAUAGAAUUGAUAGUAACUUGAGGUAAUUGUUAAGGAAAAAAGUUAUGGUGCAUAACGAAAUCUUUAUACACCGUGCAUAAACACUUCACAACCAUCAGAUCUAGUGUACACAUGUAAUAAUCCUAGGUUUCUCAGCUCACACUCUCACAAUCUGAUCGCACACACUCUCACAAUCUGAUCGCACACACUCUCAUACGACUCAACCUUGCUCGCCACUUCGAUGUGCUGACCCUUGCUCGCUGCUCCGACGUGGUUUAUCCGGCUAGGUUACGACGACGUGAUUGCGACGUGGUUUAUCUGGCUAGGUCAUCGACGAGGUUGCACGGAUUUCACCCUUGCUCGCGCUACGACGUGAUUUCUCCAGCGGCAUUCGUACUGCAAUUUGAAGAGGUAUAUGAUUUUUGUUGUAUUUAGCUUUUGAUUCAAAUUUCAGAUUUGUUACUGGUUUUUUGUUCUUAGGAUCAAUUUAGUGAUUCAAAUUUAGUGAUUCAAUUGUUGAUAUUAGGAUCGAUUUAGCUUCAGUUGUAGCAAUUGGAUAAGGAUCAAUUUUGCUUCAGUUUUAGUUUCAACUUAUGAUAUGUAACAGAACAAUUUAGCUUCAAUUUCAUAUCUAAUGGUUCUUUGUUCUUAAUAGUGUUUGUUGCUGUUUUCAAUGGAUUUGAUAUCAACUUCAUCUGAGAGUGGACAAUUGAGUGUUGAAACUUCAUCAUUGAUUCAUGCUGAUAGUUCUCAAUGUUACUCCCGUAGCAAUAAAGAAUCAAGGAAGUCUUUAGUCUUUAAAUUUAUUAAAGAGAUUGAAGAUUUUUAUGGUAAUUAUGCAUAUAACACUGGAUUCUCUAUUAGGACUAUGUUGAAGUCGAAGAACAAUUCAAAAAAAUAAGAAAUGAGAUAAGGUACAUUAUGUGUGUUAUGUUUGUAACAAACAAGGUUUCAAGAAGGGAAGUCUGCUUAAUCAUAACAACAGACCAACAUCAGACAGUCCAGUGGUUAUUGAUUUUGUGAAAGUGAAAGAAAAACCUGAGGAAAGGGUUGGUUGUAAAGCUGGAAUAUGUUUGAAGCUGGAUAAAGUUUUUAAUGUCUAUAAGAUAUAUAGAUGGGAUGUGGCUCACUGUCAUCCAUUACAUAAACCAGAGCAUUUGUGUUACCUGAGAUCAUUUCGAGAAGUAAAUGAAGUUCAAGGACAACUCGCUGUAAUAAAUUCUAAAGCUGGAGUGUCGAUGAGAACGUCUUAUGAAGUUAUGGGUCAAGGAGUUGGAGGCACGAAGAAUCUUCCUUUUCGGUUUUCGGACUUAAAGAACUAUCUAAUGACAAUUCGUCAAAAGGAGAUGGUGGUUGGUGAAGCAACUGUAAUUCAAGAAUUCUUUAGAAAUGAAGCUCUCUCGAAACCAUCUUUUUACUAUGAUAUCCAAGUUGAUGCUGCAGAAGACAUAUGUAACGCCCUAAUUGUUAUUUAAUUAUUUUUAGUGGAUUUAAAGUCUUUUAUAUGAUUUUAAAUGAUUUAUGUUGAUUUUGUGGUGUGGUGUAUUUUAUUAAAUGGUUAUUUUCAUUAUUUAAUAGAAUAAGUGGAGAAAUAUAGUUAUUUUGGAGUGUGGGAGUUAAUUAGGAUUUAAUAAAAAUUAAGGGAGUUUAAUGAAAUAAAGGGGGAGUUAUAGUUUUAGGAGUGAGGAAAAGAAAAGGUCAGAAGCAGUUUUACGUGAAACAAGUUUUGGGAGAGAAAAUCAAGAACAAGGGUGGGAAGAACAAGUGGAGUCAGAGAAUCUGAUUGUUGUGCUUUUGUUCAUCUAAAUUAAGGUAAGGGUGAGGCUAACCUUCAAUGAUUAUAAUAUAUGGUUUCUGAAAAUUGUUUUGAUUAGAAUUGUUCUUGAAAAAUAAGAAUUUGAGAAUUAGGGUUCUAUACUGAUUUUGGAAGAAAAGAGUAAGGAUUCAUGUUGAUUAUGCUUAGAAUUCAUAUUCAGAUCAAUUUUAGGAAUUAUAAUGUUGCUGUAAUUCGAAUUUGGAGAGGUUAGGAUGGUUGGAGAAAAAUUGGGGGAAAUUGCAAGAUUGUGAGAAUGAGAUGAAUUGUUGUUGUUGAUGCAUGUUUUAUGUUCCUUUAGAUGCUUAAUUGUAUAAUGAACCUAUAAACAAUCUUUGGAAACAUGUUUCGGCAUUGGGAGAUCAAAAUUGGGAGUUUUGGGAUGAAAAAUGAUUUAAACCCGUGAAAAAUUAUGCAGAAACGAUGACUGUUCGCUUAAGCGAGCCGAAAGCGAGCUGUAAGCGAACAGCUACUGUAAGUAGUUCGCUUAAGCGAAGUGCCUUUUGACAGCAUUUCUUAUUUCGUGUUCUUGUGUCUUUUUCACACGUCUCUGUUUUGAAUUAGCCUUUGGUGUAAACAUGAAAGUUGUAGAUAAUUUUGUUAGCUUUCCAAUGGCUUUGGUUUGACUGGAAAAUGAUUUUUAGUUUUUGAGAUAUGAUGAAAAUACUCCAAGUAGGUCUUAGUGAAAUCUUAUGAUAAUUCAGCACAACCGUUUCCAAGUUAAUCCAAAACUUAUGGGAUAAUUCCAAGGCUCAAAACUAGAAGUAAUAUGAGUACAAUUAAGGUGUUUAAGAGUAUUUAACCCAUGUUGUGAGUUGACCCUUGGGGUAGGAAUGGAGGUUGAUUAUAGUACUGUUGAUGUUGAGUGAGUCAGAUAUAAUAUGAUUUGAUGUUGUUAGUAAUGAGAUAUAUUUGUAUAUGCAUUGUAUGGAUUAUAUAAGAUGUUUAAGUGAUGUUGAUUAUCAUUUGAUAUUGUUAUAUCUUGAGAUGUCUAUGUGCUGCCUAUGUUGUUGUUGUAAAUUGAUUAAGCUGCAUGUGACGGUCUAAGAUGUAAGAUGUCGUCCAAAGUAUUGGAGUCUUAAGUUGUUGAUGUUGACCAAGUUGUGGAGUAAGUUAUAAUUAUUUAUGCACAGUUGUCGUUGUCUACGUUGUCGUUGAUGUUGCCGUUGUUGAGUUUAGUGAAUUUGGAGAUGAUUGAGUAUGAAACCAAGUGAACAUAUACUAUGUUUAAUGAACUUGAUGCAUUAGUUUGAUUAUAAUUAAUUGUGUAUUUUCUGGAAUCAUUGGAUCAAUUAUGAUGGAUUAUUGUUGACUGUGAUGUAUAUUUAUAUUUAAAUAAAUUAUACAUGUUGCUGAAUUCUUUUCAAAGGUUGAAGUAUUAUUAAUUGGAUUGUCGAGGUGAAGUCAUAUUUACAUAUAUGCAUUGAUGAGUAGUGGUUGUCGUUGAUGUUGUUGAGUUGUAUGUAGAUAUACAUAAGUGGGUCAGUUGCAUAAGCAUAAAAGUGGGAGAGCUUCAGCUCUGGAACGCCUUGUCGUUCAAAGCGGUGGAACACUAGUUGUUCAAAGCGGUGUUGAGCGGUGAGGACUUAUGUCCUGAUGAGAAUGCUUUAACCAUUCGACAGCGGUGUGGGUCACGGCCCUGAAUAUGGUACCACAUGCAUAGUUGCAUUUGUGAGGAGUCUUAGAUGUGUCGUCAUGUCUUUGCAUGAGUCGUUGUCGUUGGUUUGAAUUGCCAUCUUAUUGAUGAUGUUGUUGAUUAUGAAAUAUAUACAUAUAUUGGAUAAUUAUUGUCGUUGUUGUUGAAUCUUGUUGUUAUCGUCGUUGUUGGUUGAAUUAGUAAGUGUUACUAAAGUUAAAGAAGUAAGAACAUUAUUGUUGAAUAUAUGUAGAUGUUUAUAUUGUUAUGAUGUGAUGAUUAUGUUGUGUCGUUUAUAUUAUGAGAAGAUGUUUAUGAUAUUGAUUACGAUGUUAUGAUGACUGUUUAUGGUGUUGAAUAUGAGGUUGUUAUGAUGUUACAUGAUGAUGAUUAUGAAUGUUGUGAUGAUGAUUAUGUGAUGUUAUCUAUGAGUUGUUAAAUGUACUUGAUGAUGGUUAUGUUAAGUUGAUAAGUUGUCUUUUAUUCAUGAAUUGCUAAUGGAAUGUUUGAUGAAUAAUUAUUAUUAUGAAAUGAUUGAUGUUACGUAUAGUUGCUAAGUUGUCCUCUAUUCAUGAGUUGUUAAUAAGGUGCUUGGUGGAGAAUGUUAAUACGAAUUAAUGAUGUUGUUAUGUUGUAUAUGAACUAUGAAUAUGAUGUUGUUACGUUGUUUAUGUCCAUUGAUUAUGAAGUUGUCAUGUUGUAUACGAAUUAUCAGUAUGAUGUUAUAUGAUUAUGAUUAAGAUGUUGAUUAUGAAGUUAAAUGAUGUUGUUAUGAUGUUGUUUAUGAUAUCAAGUUAUGACUGUUGAUAUGAUGAGUACAUGAUAUGGUUUAGGAGUCGUUAAAAGAAUUAUUAUUACUAAUUGAUGGAGUUUAAGUUGUUAGAUGCAUUUGAUGAAUUAUAUAUUAUUAUUAUUAUUGAUUGUGAAUCUCACCCCUUCUGCUUGAAAAUGUUGCCCUUCGUAUGGGUAACUUGCAGGUAAUAAAGAUUAGUAGGAGUGGUGGCUCAAGUGUCUUAGGGCUCUGAUACGUAACGGGAUGGUGAAUUGUUGCUAUGUUUAUCAUUCCUUUAUGUGUCAAUUUUGGAACAUGUUGUUGAAGCUUUUAUUGUCGUUGAAUUAAUUCCGCUGCAAAGUUUUAAUUAUUACGCUGUUGAAAUUUGAAGGAUAAUUAUUUAAUUAUUCCAUUUGUGAUUUUUAAGAAAAGAAGUGUAACAUUCCGUUUAAGGUGUUUUACUCUGAUUAAUUUAUGAAAUUUUUAUGUUGGGAAAACGGGGUGUUACACAUAGGUAGCAUUUUUUUGGGCAGAUGGAAUUAUGCAACUAGAUUAUUCUCUAUUUGGCGAUGUCAUUAGGUUAGUAUUUUGUACUUCUCUCAGGUUUUAAAUUAGUGUUUACUUUCAUUAUGUUGUAUUUUGUUCUGGCAUGAAUAGAAUAGGUAGGAGUACAUUUUUUUGGGCAGAUGGAAUUAUGCAACUAGAUUAUUCUCUAUUUGGCGAUGUCAUCAGUUUUGAUACAACUUACCCAACAAACAAUCAAUAUCAGCCAUUAGGUUACUAUUUUGUACUUCUCUCAGGUUUUAAAUUAGUGUUUACUUUCAUUAUGUUGUAUUUUGUUCUAGCAUGGAUAGUAUAGGUAGGUGUACAUUUUGAACUGCCUAGUGUCUAGGUGUGUGUGGCAUAUGUGUCCGAGUCUGUAGUUUAAGAGAUCUCUAGUCUACUGAUUUUUUUUUUUUUCCAAAUGCAUUUAUGUUUAAGAAAUCAGUGGGCAACUUGACUGUAAGAUUGAUAAGGUUGCAGGCAUACUUGAAACAAACCACCCUGAUCAUAAGAAUGCUCUUUACUGAGCAACCAUUAAGCAAGGAUACGUCUUGUUGAACAAGAUCCAGAAAUUGUCUCGUGUGAUCGAUCUUUAGGCCAUUUUAUGUUUAAAAAGUGUAUUGAAUUGAAAGGCAGAGAUACUGACAGUAUCAAGGACAUCUGUUGAAUCCAUUUGACUAGGUGGGAGAAUGAGCCAUGACAUCUCAGUAGUCCAUUUGAUUUUCAAAUUAAUGAACAUCCAAGCUGGUCGAAUCAUCUCAAUCAAUUUCAAAUUAUUUUUUUCAAACAGUUUAAUUAUGGCUAAAAUAUGGUUUUAGUCCCUGCAAAUAUGUCUCGUUUUGGUUUUAGUCCUUGUAAAAAAAAAAAUUGUUUUUGGUCCCUGCAAAAUUUUUUGUUUUUACAAUUGGGAUUAGAUGAUGAAAUUUUUUUUUGAUGGAAGACCUACUUCAGACUUUAGGUGGCUUGUUCAAACUCACGGAAAUCGUAUGCAUUGGUCCGAAAACGACUCAGUUAAGCGAGUCUUGCAAUGCUUUUCUUCGUGGAUUUUUGCAGCCAGACCAUUCACUUGUUCGAUUCUUUAGUCAUUUCAACAUUGUGGUUCAGAGAAUGAGGGAUAAUCAUGCUGAGUUUGACUUCAAGGCUGCAAACACUAGAACAAAAAAUAAUUAUCCCAACAGUCAGCUGAUGCGGUCCGUUGUAAUCAAGUACACACCAGCUUGCUUUGCAUUUAUUCACAGGCAGUAUGACCUUUCCUUCAAAUACUAUUAUGAGGAGGACACAACAAAAGGGUCUGCCUUGAACAAGUUUUUCAAAUUUUCACAAUUGUAAAGGUUAAUGAUAAUUAUGAUGAUGUUGAUAAUGAUAAUGACGGGCCUUCCAAUGUCGAUGUUUUGGAUGCAUAACUUCAAGAAAACAUUUUCCCAAGUUUUGAAGAUCAUGGUCGACUUGAUGAAAGGGUUGUCACAGUUGACAUUAGAAGCAAAAGUUUUAGUUGUUCAUGUCGUAUGUUUAAGAACAAGGGGCUUCUUAUGUCGACAUGUUUUUAAGAUCUUGGAGUUCUUAGGUGGUUAUGUGUAAUAUCAUUUUUUGAAGACAAUACCAGGACAAUAUGUUUUAAAGCAUUGGACUAGAGAUGUGCGUCCGUCUGUCGAUAAGCUAAAAUCUACCAUCAAUGUUGGCAAUGAAGACAGCACUCAAGCACAACGAUAUCAACAAAUUUUGUUGUUACAGUUAAGCUUUCUACACGUUUUUGCGUAGAUCCGCAGGCAUCUAAAAUUUUUCUCCACGGUGUUCUUGAAGCUGGGAAAAAGGCAGAGGAGUUGCUUCUUUCUAAAGGUAUUCGUACAGACCCAUCUUCCGUGAUGCCAUCUAAAUCUUCAAAAGCAGCUGCUGUCGGUGAACCAUCUGCAGGGGUGAAGUCCGCUGCACCAAAGUUCAAAUAAAGUCUAAAUCCAAUUAAGUCAAAGAAGCGACUUAAAAGUGAUUAUGAAAAAGCUAGAGACAGGCAGAAAUUACUUAUAAAUCGGAAGAAACAAAAGAGAGAUGAUGCGGCUUUAAAAAAAAGAAUGGUCACUGAUUGAUUGUUUUUAUGUUAUAAGUUUGUACUAGAGUUUAUUGGAAAUAUUUUGAUAUGAUCUAUUGGAAAUUAUACAUUUCACAUUCUUUAUUGUUAUGUAUUGAUGAUUAUAGUUUGUUUUACUUCCUUAGAAAGAUCAUUAAUUGAAAUCAUAAACUAGAAAGAACAUCUAGAAAUUUAAUUGAUUCAAGAACAUAUCCAAAAAUUCAUCAUAAACUUGAUACAAAUCCAGAAAUUCAUCAACAUCUUUAUACAAACUCAAUAAAAAAAAAUUAAAACUAAUCCAGUCCAUAAUCGGAGGUUUCAUAUCAUGUUGGACGUGGUAGCUUUUGAAGCAUUUCUUCAUAGUAAUGGUUUUAAAUAAUGAUCAGAAGCAAAUAAAGUUAUGCUUCUGAAGUGAUUAGUUUUUUAUUCGUUCUCUCCUAAGCUAAAAAUACUGAUCAGAAGCAAAUAGAGUUCGGCUUCUGAAGUGAUUUCCAGAACUAAAUAGCAGCGGAUAAAACAGAGAGAGAGAAAGAAUAAAGACACAAAGCAAUUAUACAGGCUCCUUCCACAAACCAGAAGUCAGUCUUGUCCCCCUUGCAUAACAAAUUUGAUAGAGUUUAAGCGCUUUAAAAUUUUUGUUCAGUCAUGCCAUUCUCUAAGUCUUCACUCCUUUAUAUAGAGGUGUGAAAGAGACGUUGUGAAUUGCCAGCACAUCAAAAUAGAUUCGUUCGAAGGUUUGAUCAAUCACCAAUGAUCUUUUGCCUGAUAUGGUUAUUAUCCUCUGAAGUAUCAAUUUCAAAUCCAUUCCAUGUAUGUAGGAACAUUGUUGCAGGCAGAGCUGUUAUUCUUGUCUUGUAGCAGAGACACAAACUGAGUAGUGGAGGUAGUGGUUGUACACUUCGUAAAAUUGUACUUUGUCAACGCUCUUCAAAGUACAAGCAUCCAAUGCCUUCAAAUCCUUUCAAAAUAGUUGUUGCUUCACUCUUCCAGUCUUCUGCAAUGCUUAGACGAGAUUAAAUCCAUUGAACAACCUUUGAAGCUUUAAGUCUUGCAUUUCCUAAUGAUUUUUAGCUUCUGGUGAUCUUGCUUCUGAUGAGAUGUUUCUAAUGAACUAGCUUCUGAUGACCUUGCUUCUGAUGACGUCGUCACUUCAUGAGCACUUUGACUUAAGGAGCACUUCUCUUCAGACACUUUAAGCUUCAUUUUUGUUGAUUCCUUCGCUCUCUUUUGUUCUUCCAGAACCUAAUAAUGAUUUCAAAUUUGUGUCUAUGGUCAUGUACACUUGAACAAAUAUUAGCGUAUUCAAUUGACAAUUUUUAAUACCUUGUUAUCAUCAAAACUCUCAAAGGGUAAUGUUAAACACAUUUUGUUCCAACAGAUUCUUGUAAAAUUAAUUUCACAUCAAUGUUGAUUCUCUCUGUUUUGUUUUAUGGUCUUUGUUUAUCGUUUUAUAAAUUUAAAGGUCAGUUCGCAGCGAUUCUAAGUUUUGUAGGUUUGGAUUUUCAAAGUUAAGUGUGAAAACAAUGUGGUAAGCAGGGUUCUCACCGAAUUUGUAAACAUUUUUAUCCUAAAAUUCAAAACCACAAAAAUAGGUUUUGUGUAUGGUUUUCAAUUGUACGCAGAAAUGUGUACAUUCGAGGCUAAUAAUAGUUCUCCAGUUGUAUAAUGGUCAUUGAGAUUUAUAGUAUUCUUUAGAGUGUGUUUAAAUAAGGUGAGGUAAUUGUGAAAUUUUAAAGAAUUUAAAAUUCUAGACUAUUUAAAUGAUUCAAUAAAAUUCCUUUCAUUUCUCGAUACUUUUGUUUGGGUGGAGUAAUAAAAAAAUUUGAGGGAUAAAAUUAUAAUUUUUGAAAAAUUUCAGGUGUCAAUUUAUAAUUGUUUGGAAAUUUAUUGGGGUCAAAUUGAAAAUUUUGAAAAAAUUGAGGAUCAAAAUGAAAAAUUUAAAAGAUUAUGACAAUGAAGAAUUUUGAAAUUCUUACCUAUUUGGUGUCAUUUGAAGUUCUCUAAAUUUAACUUGAACAAUAUACUUCAUAAAUUCCCAUCAUUUUGAAAAUUCUUCAAAUUAUUAUCCAAACAAUGGAAUUCACCUAAGUAUUUGAAUUCUCUCAUAGCAUUACAUUCCCCAAAACAAUCCCCCAUCCAAACACACUCUUAAAGAAUUUCUCUCAUAGUAUUUGAGAAAUUUUGAAGAAUUUAGAAUUCUAGGUAAUUUAAAUGAUUCAAUUAAAUUGCUUUCAUUCUUAAAUAUUAUUGUUUGGAUUGAGUAAUAAAAACUUUUAUUGUCAUUAUUUUUGCGCAACUUAUAAAUUUCAAAUUUUUUGGGCCAAAUUUGAAAAAUAAAAUUAGGGGUCAAUUUGCAAAUUUCAAAAUUUUUAGGGGCCAAAUUAUAAUAUUUGGAAAAUUUUGGGGUCAAUUUGCAAUUUUUUAAAAUUUAUUGGGGUCAAAUUGAAAAUUUUGAGGACCAAAAUGUAAAAUUUGAAAAAAUAUGACAAUGAAGAAUUUUGAAAUUCUCUACAUUUAACUUGAACAAAAUACUUUAUAAAUUUCCAUCAUUUUAAAAAUUCUUCAAAUGAUUAUCCAAACAAUGGAAUUUACCUCAAAAUAUUUGAAUUUCCUUAAAAAACAUUCCCCCAUCUAAACACACUCUUAGAAAAUUUCUAGUUUUUAUCUGUUAUCAUUUUCUGAAUUUAUUAUUCUAAUGAAUCCUUUUUGAUUUGCAGCAACAAUGCCAUUUUCAAAUUCUGCGUUAUUCUUCAAUAUUUAUUGAGAAUUAGUGUGUAUCAAUGAGAAACUAAUUAAACAAAACAUUUAUCUCAAAUCAUGUGUAAUUGAACAGCACAAAGAUUCUGAACCCUCAUGAGUAUGCUUGAACUAUACAUGAAAGAACAAAAUGAAGCAUAAAAAUUAACUUCCCAUUAAUAUUCCUUUCUACAAAUUAAAUAUUAAAAACAUCUUCAAGUGAUAGAUUGUUGUACGUACUCCACAUUAUUUUAAUUGAGAAUAGUCAUUGUUUCCAAAGCUUUACCACUUCUUAAAUGCAUGCACAAAAUGAGAAUUUUUUCGUCAUAAAAAGUUUACGAAAAAUAGUUGCUAAUUUUCAGAAAACAGUUUUCACAAGAAAGGUUUUUAGAAAAAAGUUUGAAAAGUUAAGGAAUUUCUUCCAAUUAUUUUUAAAAUAAUGCACAAACAGGGUCCCGUUGGCCGUGCCAAUAUGUUUACCAGUGUUUUUGGUAAACAAUAAGGGAUGGUUUGAUUAUUACAAGCAGGAUCAAACUAGAAAUCGUAAAACGUAUUGUGGAUUUGUUUUUAAGAAAAUAGAGUUUGCGUUCAUCAAAUUCAUAGGUUGCUUUAUGAACAAGACGAGACUGAAUGGCAUCUUUCGACAGAAAAAGGUUUAAAAUAAAAGAAAACACAGUAAAUGCAAAAUAAAGGCUAAAAGUUAAAAGUGCAGAAACUUAAAGAAAUGAUAAAUUGCAUUGCUUUAAAAAUAAAGGUGGUUCGACAAAUCCUUUACAUACAUUCUGUAUAACUCUUUUCUCUCGCGCCGGUACUCGAGUGUUGUACAAUUUCUAUAAGUGAUUUGUGACCCGUUUUCCCUAUGGAAAACUAUUUAUACAUAGCAAACUAACUAGAAAUAGCCUAACUCCACGAUCAACACUUCUUCCAUUUGGACAACCGCUUAUCUCCCACAUUUCCAUUGAGGAAACCAUUUCUCUGUGGACAACCGCUUGGCUUCGACAGUCUUGCAUCUCUGACUCACGUCUUGUAGAACUCUAGGGCUUUUAGUCCCUUUCAUGUUAAGUCUGCAUUUCAUCGAACUGCUUAAGUUUGAAGGAAAAAGCGUUAAUUCCUACAAAGAUAAAAGUCAACAUACGUUGACUGCAUUAAAUGAGCCUUUUGAAAUUACAUACUAAAACAAGGUCAUGCUUAUAUAGAUGGGCGUUUAAAAUAACUGCCUUCGGGUUUCGUGGCUUAUGAUUAGGGAUGGCUAGAGGACACAUGUAAUGUUAUCCUCGUGCGGGGGCACACUCGUGUGUGGUGUGGUGCACUGAAAGUUGGCGUUUCCUUCAAGCAUGGAGUCUUACGGAGGUGUAAGUUAGGCCACAUGUCAACGUGUGGUUGGUUUUCUGACCGGUCCAUAAUGUAAAAUAUUUAAUUAUAGUAGAUGUUUAAUGAGUUUAUAUUAACAUUUUUUUAAAGAUAUGUAAUUUAUAUACAUUUCAUUUAUCAUGUUUUUUUUAUUUUUUAUUUUUAGCAAUUUUUUAUUAUUAUUUAUACAUAUGUCAAAUUAGUUUUUGGUAACAACAUUAUUUCAAAUUUAUGUCGAUAAUUAUACUUUUUCUAAUUGGGGAUAGUCAUCUUCAUAAAUUUAUAAAUUCUCUUUCAAUCUUUUUUUUUUAUAAAUUUAAAAGUUUAAUGUGAAAUGCAUGAAAUAUAAUAUACCGAGUGAGCUGAAGGGUCAUAGACAACAUAUUGAUCAGAUACAUUUUAAAUUAAUUACUCUUUUUUAAAUUGCUUUUCGCUAAUUCUGAAAGCAAAUAACUAUUGAACUGGAAUUAAAAAAGCAUUCAAGUUUUAACUAUAAAAGGAUCAAAAUAAAUCUCUUUAGUAGAUUUAAAGGAUGAAAAAUAUGGCUCAGCUUCUUCUGUUUAUUUAUUCUUUGAUUAUCUUUCUUUCUCUUUUUUUUGGAGAAGCAGCGUUAGAGAGGACUGAAACCACAAUGCGUAUGCAUUUUUCACACCAUUUUUAAAAUUUUCUUUUUUUUUUUGGACGCCCAAUUUUAUGAUAUUUUACUUUUUUUUUUUUUUAGGGAAUUUAUCAUAUUUUACUAACAUUUUUUUUUCUUUAUCAGACAAUGUACAACCAUCCCAUUUUAUUCCUUGCUUUACUGCCGCUGAUUGUCCAAUGAUAGAUGAACCUCAUUAUAUUGAGUGUGUUACAGGUUUUUGUUGGGCACUUAUGCGUAAUCUGCAUUAAUUGCAUGAAACUAGGGGACAUCACAAUAUUUCAACUUUUAUUUUGUAUUUAAAAAUAUAAAUUAUGUUUAUCUAGCUGUCAAAUUUAAUUUUAUGUGUAUAAGCUGCACUCUUUUUUCCUUCAUCAAGUUUUAUUCCAUUGAGAUUUCCUGUUAAGGUUUUUAACGAGGCGGUUUUUUAUAGUAUUUGUUUCCUUGGGUUUUGACAUAGUCCCCCAAUUUUGAUUUUAAAUAAAAUGUUUCUUUGAGGUCUUAUAAAUGAUUGUAAUGAGUUAAGAUCCCNNNNNNNNNNNNNNNNNNNNNNNNNNNNNNNNNNNNNNNNNNNNNNNNNNNNNNNNNNNNNNNNNNNNNNNNNNNNNNNNNNNNNNNNNNNNNNNNNNNNAACUUAGCUAAGAUUUCCUCAUGUCUUAUGAUGCCUAUGUACGAUCGUGAUAUUAAAAAAAAUGUUAAAUGCAUUUUUCUAUAACAAUUUCUGUACUUUUAUCUAUUAUUCACCAAACUUUUAUCUUAAUAAUUUCUGCUAGGGUUUAGCCGAAACGCCGUUUCACUAAACUUUCAAAGAAACAUCAUGAAUCAUCGAUUCUUGAUUUAUCGAUUCAUGCUAUUCAAUACACAACUGAUUGUAUGCCUUAUUUUGUCCUACGUGCAUCAUUCAUCUCCCUAAUUAAGUCGUUAACGUGUUGCAAUCUUCUUGAUUUUGGUGAGAGAAAGAACUUUCUAUCAUUACAUGAGUGGGUUGUUAGGUGCUUCUGAUUGUGUUACAU